GAAUUCGCCCUUAGAGUUUGAUCCUGGCUCAGGAUGAACGCUGGCGGCGUGCUUAACACAUGCAAGUCGAAUGGGAAUUACUUUAUUGAAACUUCGGUCGAUUUAAUUUAAUUCUAGUGGCGGACGGGUGAGUAACGCGUGGGUAACCUGCCUUAUACAGGGGGAUAACAGUCAGAAAUGGCUGCUAAUACCGCAUAAGCGCACAGAGCUGCAUGGCUCAGUGUGAAAAACUCCGGUGGUAUAAGAUGGACCCGCGUUGGAUUAGCUGGUUGGUGGGGUAACGGCCCACCAAGGCGACGAUCGGUAGCCGGACUGAGAGGUUGAACGGCCACAUUGGGACUGAGACACGGCCCAGACUCCUACGGGAGGCAGCAGUGGGGAAUAUUGCACAAUGGGGGAAACCUUGAUGCAGCGACGCCGCGUGGAGGAAGAAGGUCUUCGGAUUGUAAACUCCUGUUGUUGAGGAAGAUAAUGACGGUACUCAACAAGGAAGUGACGGCUAACUACGUGCCAGCAGCCGCGGUAAAACGUAGGUCACAAGCGUUGUCCGGAAUUACUGGGUGUAAAGGGAGCGCAGGCGGGAAGACAAGUUGGAAGUGAAAUCUAUGGGCUCAACCCAUAAACUGCUUUCAAAACUGUUUUUCUUGAGUAGUGCAGAGGUAGGCGGAAUUCCCGGUGUAGCGGUGGAAUGCGUAGAUAUCGGGAGGAACACCAGUGGCGAAGGCGGCCUACUGGGCACCAACUGACGCUGAGGCUCGAAAGUGUGGGUAGCAAACAGGAUUAGAUACCCUGGUAGUCCACACCGUAAACGAUGAUUACUAGGUGUUGGAGGAUUGACCCCUUCAGUGCCGCAGUUAACACAAUAAGUAAUCCACCUGGGGAGUACGACCGCAAGGUUGAAACUCAAAGGAAUUGACGGGGGCCCGCACAAGCAGUGGAGUAUGUGGUUUAAUUCGACGCAACGCGAAGAACCUUACCAAGUCUUGACAUCCUGCGACGAUGCUGGAAACAGUAUUUUCCUUCGGGACGCAGAGACAGGUGGUGCAUGGUUGUCGUCAGCUCGUGUCGUAAGAUGUUGGGUUAAGUCCCGCAACGAGCGCAACCCUUACUGUCAGUUACUACGCAAGAGGACUCUGGCAGGACUGCCGUUGACAAAACGGAGGAAGGUGGGGAUGACGUCAAAUCAUCAUGCCCUUUAUGACUUGGGCUACACACGUACUACAAUGGCGUUAAACAAAGAGAAGCAAGACCGCGAGGUGGAGCAAAACUCAGAAACAACGUCCCAGUUCGGACUGCAGGCUGCAACUCGCCUGCACGAAGUCGGAAUUGCUAGUAAUCGUGGAUCAGCAUGCCACGGUGAAUACGUUCCCGGGCCUUGCACACACCGCCCGUCA
rnacentral:rRNA from 1 species